ACAGCAGGAUUCCCAAUCUUGAUUUUACCAAUUUCAAUUUCUUAUAUAAAAAAAAAGAAAAAAAUUUACUACUAAUAAUAAUAAUAUUAGAGUUUUUGUCACACCUAAAUUAGCAAUAUUUAGUGCUAUUUUAGGCAUACUUCUUGGUAUUUGUAGCUACCUCUACAACUUUGGCAUGUCUUAUCUCCCCAUUUCGAUUUCUUCUCUCCUUGGUUCAACGUCCCUAGCAUUCACCGCGAUUUUCGGCGUAUUUCAUGGUGAAACAUAAGUUCACAGAUUAUUCCGUGAACGCGGUGGUGUUGAUGAUGUUAGGGUCGAUUAUCUUAGGGUUACACAUGAAUAGAGAUCGUCCGAUAGGUGAAUCGAAUCAACGAUACAUGUUAGGGUUUGUGAUGACACUUGUUGGUGCGGCUGUUCAUGGAUUUGUAAAUGCAGGAGUUGAGUAUAGUCAUGUUAAAGCUGGAGUUGUUGUCACGUUUGAUCUUGUCAUGCAAAUGCAAUUUGUUAUAUCAAUGUUCUCAACUUUGUUUUGUAUCGUCGCAAUGAUUAUCAACAAAGAUUUUCAGGUAACCGCCUCUUUUUAAAGUUUAAGAAGUUAGAAAAAAAUUACUUUUAGGCAUGUAAAUAGUCAUAGUAACGUACGAUAUCCAUUUUAUUUUAGCAUUUUACGUAUAUAAACUAGUAAAUUAGAAGUAUGCAUAGAUUUUAUAUUACAAGUGUAAUUUAAUCUACAAUAACAUGUUAUUUAUCUUAUAUGAGAAAUUAAAUAGUCUAGCAAAGGAAACAUUAUAUUACAAAUUUUAAAGUAGUUAAAAGAAUUUAAAUUCAUAAAAGUCGUGAAAACACUAUAUAAAGUAAUAUAAUUGCUUCGUUCUGCUUUAUGUUAUAGUUUGAAUCGACCAUGAUGACGGAACUUACCAAAGAAAUGAAGAUUUCUAAAAGGAAAAAAGAAGAAAGAAAGAAUUAGAGUUAACAAUGACAUGAACUUUCUUUCUCUUAAAAAAAAACUUCUUUUUUUUGAGUGGAAAGAAAAAAAAGCUUCCUUUUCAAAAGAUAACUAAGCAGUGUCAAUGACAUGAACUUUUUUUAUUUUCAGAGUGAAAAAGAAAUUUUAAGUAAUUAUUUUCAAAGAUAAUAAAGGGGAUAUGUUCAAGCAUGAGCCAUUUAUCUUUCUUUUUAGUCCGUUUAUACAAAAUAUCUUCUCUCUAUAUUUAGUAAUUCUUUAAUUAAUUCCAAUAUUUUACAUGACUUUUUUUAAAAUUAUAAGAUUCAAAGGAAAUUUUUGAUAUAUUACAUAUAUGCCUGCAUCUCCAAUUUAAGACCACAAAAUUAAAAGAUUUCUUUUUAGUUUUCUAAAACUUCAUGCAUAGUCAAACUACAACGCUUAAAUUAACAUCGAGAAAGUACUUUUUCUUUAAGAGUUUAAGAUAUAUACGUCGUCCAUAUAAAUCAUAUGCACACAACACAUCAGAUCCUCUUCACAUGUUAUAGCAAGUAACCUGCUGUUUUAUUUGCAUGCAAGAUUACAAAUCUCAUAUCUUAAGGAUGUCUGCCGAGCUAUAAAUAUUCUUUGAAUAACCUGACAGUGUAAGGAAAUCUUUUUAACAAUAUGUAGGCCAUCAUUAGAGAAGCUGAAGAAUUUGGAUUAGGGCAAAAAAAGUACUAUAUGAUAUUAGCAUUAACAGCAAUAUCUCUACAAACUAUGAUGAUUGGAAGUCUUGGGAUGAUUUUCUGCUCCUCAGCACUAUUGUUUGGGAUAGUAAAUGCACUUCUAAAUUCCAAAUACAACAAAUAUUUGCUGUCAUUUUCUGCCUGAAAGCUUCAAUUCUGACAAGUGGAUGGCUUUAGCUAUGUGUCUUUGGGGUUUUGUCUUUCUUAUUUCUAUGGAGAAUAUAAAGAUAGCAUGACCAACAAGGUUACAAAAAAUAAACCAUGCUACCCUGCCAGACCAAGUUUGAAUAACAUUAAUGCUACUUUUGUAUUCAGUGGUGUACCCAGAAUUUUAUGUAAGUAAUUUAUUAGUAUUACAACUCUGUCAGUAUGGGAGUUUGGGUCGUCUUGGAUUGUGGAGUUCUUUUAAGACGUUUAUUUUCGAUUGUAAAUUGAUGCAUGUUUAUUUUAAUACUUUUUAAGCGAUGUCAGCAUGUUGAGUAUUUAUAGUGGCGGAGCCAGAAUUUUUUUUAAAAAAAAUUAUGCCAAGGAAAUUUAACAAUUACUUAUAUAUAUUAUAUGCAAAAAAGAUAAAAUAAAUAAUUUUUAGGGCAAACCACAUAAAUCUCACUAGUUUAGGUCUUAAUUAUUAAGAUUCCCAAUAGUUUCAAAUAUUACUUCAUGUACCAUAUUUUAUGCUUGAAUCAAUGAGAUACAUGUAUCUGCCGAAUUUUAAAAUUGAGAUACAAAAUUUAUUUAUUUAAAUUAAUUGUUUGGAACUAAUUUCCUUAAUUAGAGGAGUAAUUGAGGAUUUUCAAAAUACAUAGAUAAUUAAUUUCAUUUUAUUAUUCUUUAAAAUAGUAAAUUCAUUAAUAUUAUUAAUAUAAGAUAACAACACAUAUAUCUUGGUAAUGCGAUUUGAUUAAUUUCAAAUUAUUACUCUUAAAAUAAUAAAUUCAUUAAUUUGAUGUAUCUAUUAUCAAUAUAUGAUGUAUCNNNNNNNNNNNNNNNNNNNNNNNNNNNNNNNNNNNNNNNNNNNNNNNNNNNNNNNNNNNNNNNNNNNNNNNNNNNNNNNNNNNNNNNNNNNNNNNNNNNNNNNNCAUAUGUUAUAUCCAAAAACAUGUAUCUCGAAUACAUAAUAAGCAUAUACAUUUAAUUAUGUGUAUCUAAAUAUGAAAUGUAGCUGAAACACAUGAAUUUAGGAACAAAUCACGACUGUAGAGUAUCUGUCGUAUCAUUAAUAUCAUCGUGUUGUUAAAAAUCAUGUAUCCAAAAUUUAAUGGUGGAUACAUAUACAUGGUCAGACACCCCAUUACUAAAAAUACAACUCAGAUCUUAAUUAAGAUUACUACUUAUUGGAUACACAUGUUUCAAGGGCUAUAUCAAAGUAAUAUUGGUACUACCAAAUCCAUGUCACGGUAACCAAAGAAAGCCUUAGAAGAACACCAACAAACAAAAACUCUCUACAAUACUCCCUUUGAUCCUUUUGCGUUGUGGUAUAACAUAAUCAAAACUAAGAUCCAUUUCUUCCGGAGACAAACAAUCAAGACACACUCUGAAUUAAAGUUUUCUCUGUAGCAGUUACUUUGAUUUGAUCUAGUUAUAAAUGAACAAUACAAAAUAAUAUUUGAGUUCAGGAGAAUUUGUCGGCCAUGGUGAUGAUAUCUUGAGAAGAAGAGAGUAGAUUAGCUUUGUUGGAAUGAAAUUGUACAAUGAAAUUCUUGAAUCAUAAAGGAGGAGACAUAAUUGAAUGAUAAAUAUGGGAGGGGAGAAUUAAGAGAUAGUGGUUGAUUUGGAGUGAAAGAGUUAAUUAAGCAGAUAAUUAAUCAAUCCUAAUUUUAAGAUAUGUGGGUAUCUAAUAAUCUAAUUGUAUCUUCAAAUAAUAUAUUAAUAUAUGGUAUAAAAUAUUAAAAGUGGUAAUAUAUGUAAUUGUUUGAAAGUAAAGAUAAUAUUAGUAUAUAUAGUAGUGAUGUAUGUCUAAUAAGGUAGUUUAUCCUAAUUUUUACCCUAUUUACCUGCAUAUAUAGUACAAUUUUUCAACAAAGAAGCUUCGACCCCUAUGCCCAAUAUGUAAAUAUAUGUUAUGAGUGUAUAUAUAUUAUCGAAGGCGGAGCUACAGUAUUAGAUACUAUACUAGCUAGUUUCAUGUUUAUUUCUAACUUGGUCAUCAAAUGUUUUAUGUAUUGCUUUAGUUCAAGCAACAAAUUGUAUUUAAUGCUCUUUCGUUACAUGAUUUCUUCUUCAUAUAAAUAUAUAUAGAAUCUAUGAAGUAGAUUUUGUGCUAUAAUCCUUCCUAUUUGAUAGAAAAGGAUCCCAUGAUCCUGAACUGAUCUUACCUGGGGUUGCAAAUUCCAAGUUUGUCUAUGAAGAGCAGAUUUAAUUAUAUUAGUGUCUAUAAUUAAUUUCUUUUGUGUAAUAUUAAUUGAUAAGUGUAUAUUUUAUAAAUAAUUAUAUAUUAUAUCAAUCCCUCCGUCUCAUGUUAGAUGUACAUCUUACUGAAAAUAUUUGUCUCGUAUUACUUGAUCACUUACUAAAUCAAAAUAGAAUUAAUUAAAUUUUCUCGUUUUACCCUUACAAUUAAUAUGACUUUUGGAAGUUUAAACAAAUUUUAAAGAUUUAAUUUUUUAAGAGUCUAAUUAAUAUGAACAAAGGACAAAAUAGUAAAAUUGAUCAAUCUAUUAUUGAUUUCUUAAUCACCAUGUUAAAUAGAAAUCGUUCAUCUAAUAUAAAACAAAUGGAAUAUUAUAUAAAUAUAAUGUAUAACCAAAUAUAUAUGAUGUAUGAUUAAUAAAUUAUGUAUUGCUGAUGUAUAUAUACAUCCAUCCUGGUUUUAAAAAAAAAUAUUUAUCACUAUAUGGUGGUGAGACCUCUAUAUUGAUGAAUAAAAUUGCCAAGCUAAGGAGAGCUUAAGCUCGACCCAUUGUUCCAGUAGUUGCUUAGCAAAAACUAAGAUUCUGAUAAAAACUAUACUAAUUUGGGACAAAUUUACAAGUCCAGCAUAGUAGACAAAAUUAGCUAUAACAUUUUAACUGGAUCAGUUCUAUACAAAAUAAUUCUUCCUCUGCUUAUACCUUAGAGACUCCACUUGUAUGAGAUCAAGUUUGUAAGAUCCGAUGGCUAUCGAUGGUAGGUGAGCCUAUGCAAAAAUCAUCCUGGGUCAAUGUAACUACACUCCUGAUGAGUUGGUACUUGAAGUUUCACCUUAUCGGUAAAAAAAUAAUUUUCCAUCUUGUAAUUCAAUGCCCUUUCCUAUUUUCCCAACCACAAUAAAUAAGUAAAGUAGUAGAAGAAAAAAUCAUUAUCUGGAUUACAUGGUGAGGCAAAUUAAAGGAAAAAUUAAGCUUAAGAAUUACACAACUUAUUUAGAAUCGCAAUCAAGUAAACAUCACUUUUUUCAUAUGCUUGAAAUUGAUCCAUAAUAGUAGGGGUGUGUAUUGAUCGGUUCGAUUUUAUAUAUUAUUGGUUCGGUUUAUUGGUUUUCAAUUUUUAAAUACGUUAAAUUAACCAAUAACUAAACCGAUAUUUCUUAUCGAUUUUGAUCCUUAACAGUUCGAUUUUCGAUUUAACCAAUAAGAAAAUACUUAUAAAACAAAUAUAUGACUUCUUUAAUAAAUUUGACGCGACAACACAAUAAUGUAACUUUACAAAUGCUCAUAAAAUAGAAACAAUAAUAAAAACAUGAAAAGAACUAUACAAGUGUAACACAAAGAGUAAUUAAGAGGAAUGUUUGGUUCUUACUUUAAUUAGGUUUUGACAUUUUGUAAAAUGUGAAGUUGUGAACCUAAAGUCACUGUGACGUGUGAAUUGAAGGCUAAAGGACAAAGAAAUAACUAGUAAGAUAUUGAAUUGAUAUUUAAUAUUUAUGUACAAGUAAAAGUAGUAAAUUACUAGUCUUAAUGGGUUAUUGGUUUACCCAAUAAUCCAAUAUUAAAAAUCAAUACCAAAUCGAUAAUCCAAGUUUUUUCUUCUAUAAAACCAUUAAAAACUCGUUAAUCCAAUAAUACAUUUUCAAUUCGAUUUAUCAAUCGAUUCAAUUUUCCACCAAUAGCGUAAAUUUCUUUUUCAUAUGGCACCUUAGUGCUUGUCCACUUUUUCACAAAUGACAAAAAAAAAAAUCCAAAUAUAAGUUUUAAAAAAUAGGGCAAUCCAAAAUAUCAUAACAAUAGCAAUAAGCAUUAUUGACUUCAUUUUUGCUUUUGACAAAAAGUAGAUUCAUCAUUAAACACUUCUACCUUUCAUUAAUUUCAAGAAUCAAUUAUGCUUUUGUAUAUCAAUAUUAAAUUCGUAAGUAUAGUUUGAAUAAUUUUUAUUAAAAAUGCUAAUUAAGCCAAACAAUCAUAUGAUGUUACAUUGCCUUAUUACUAGGAUACUCUACUUUUCUUCCUACACAAUAAUGUUAGUAGCUUGUGCAACAACUAGAAUCUCUAUUCUACAAUAAUAAUAAUAAUAAUAAUAAUCCUUUUUUGGACUUCCAAUAUUGACAUCCUCGUGGAUUUAAUUUAUACAUAUACUAUAUUAUCAACGAUGGCGGUGAAAUGGAUAGAAUAUAGUCUACUCUUAACUAAAGGAGCAAAAUCGAAGGAUCUUAUUCCACCUUAUUCUUCACUAUUCUUAAUUAAUAAUCUCAAAUUUGAGUCUAAAAAUGGAAAAGUUUAUGCUAGAGAGCACUUACCUUAGACCUCUGAUUAAGGAUGGAACAGUCUCACCACUGCAACACAACCCUUGUUGGUAUGUUUAAGUGUUAAUUAAAAUAAGUAAUAAUAUGAAGUUAAAAUUUGAAAUAGUUAUUAGAAAAUACUUUCAUAAAAAAAUAAAUGAUUCUCGUCGUACCAAAUACUAGAAAACAAUUUCCUUAAAAAACAUUUUCCCUCAAAAGACAAAUACACCUCAAUCUAAAGUCACUUUAAUUUCCUCUUUGGCUUAUAUGUACCACUAAUAAAUAUACCCCCACAAAUUAAUAUCUCUCAAACACAUUCACAAAAAAUAUGGACAUGGAAAUUGAGCAAGAGGGCAACUACAAUAAGCCUAAGAAACUCAAGAAUUUCAUGUCAAUUAAAACACUUCUUAUUCUCAUAUAUUGUAUCUUCCUUUUAGUUGGCCAAAUAUCAGGUGUAUUGCUUGUUAGAAUUUAUUAUUUACAUGGUGGAAAAAGAAAAUGGUUGCAAUCUUUAUUGCUAACAGCAGGAUUCCCAAUCUUGAUUUUACCAAUUUCAAUUUCUUAUAUGAAAAAAAUGAAAAAAAUUACUAUCAACAAUAAUAAUAUUAGACUUUUUGUCACACCUAAAUUAGCAAUAUUUAGUGCUAUUUUAGGUAUCCUUUUUGGUAUUUGUAGCUACCUCUACACUAUUGGCAUGUCAUAUCUUCCCGUUUCGAUUUCCUCUCUCCUCUCUUCAACGUCCCUUGCAUUUACCGCGAUUUUCGCGUAUUUCAUGGUAAAACAUAAGUUCACACAUUAUUCGGUGAACGCGGUGGUCUUGAUGAUGCUAGGUUCGAUUAUAUUAGGGUUGCACAUGAAUGGAGAUCGUCCGAUAGGUGAAUCGAAUCGGCAAUACACGUUAGGGUUUGUGAUGACAAUUAUUGGUGCUGCUCUUCAUGGAUUUUUAAAUGCAGGAGUUGAGUAUAGUCAUGUUAAAGCUGGAGUUGUUGUCACCUUUGAUCUUGUCAUGCAAAUACAGUUUCUUAUAUCCAUGUUCUCAUCUUUGUUUUGUAUCGUUGCCAUAAUUAUCAACAGAGAUUUUCAGGUAAUCGUCUCAUUCAAAAGUUUAAGCAGUUAAAAAAGAAUUAUAGAUAGUCAUAGUAACGUACGUACGAUAUCCAUUUUAUUUUAGCUUUUUACUUAUAUAAACUAGUAAAUAAGAAGUAUAUAUAAAUUUUAUAUUACUGGUGUAAUUUAAUCUACUAUAACAUGUUAUUUAUCUUAUAUGAGAAAUUAAAUAGUCUAGCAAAGGAAACAUUAUAUUACAAUUUUAAAAAUAGAUAAAAGAAUUUAAAUUCAUAAAAAUCGUGAAAAAAAUAAUAUAAUUGAUUUGUUCUGUUUUAUGCGAUAUAGUUUGAAUUGACCAUGAUGACAAAACUUACCAAAGAAAUGAAGAUUUCUAAAAGGAAAAAAGAAGAAAGAAUUCGAGUUAACAAUGACAUGAACUUUCUUUCUCUUUAUAAGAGUGAAAAAAAGCCUCCUUUUCAAAAGAUAAUCAAGCAGCGUCAAUGACAAGAACUUUUUUAUUUACAAGAGUGAAAAUGAAAUUUUAUGUUAUUAUAAAGGGGAUAUGUUCAAGCGUGAGCGAUUUAUCUUUCUUUUUAGUCCGUUUAUACAAAAUAUCUUCUUCUCUAUAUUUAAUAAUUCUUUAAUAUCUAAUAUUUUACAUGAUUUUUUAAAAAUCAUAAGAUUUAAAGGGCAUUUUUGAUACAUUACAUAUAUGCCUGCAUCUUUAAUUUAAGACUACAAAAUUAAAAGAUCUCUUUUUCAUUUUCUAAAACUUCAUGCAUAGUCAAACUACGACACUUAAAUUAGCAUCGAGAAAGUACUUUUUCUUUAAGAGUUUAAGAUAUAUACGUCGUCCAUAUAAAUCAUAUGCACACAACACAUCAGAUUCUCUUCACAUGUUAUAGCAGGUAACCUGCUAUUUUAUUUGCAUGCAAGAUUACAAAUCUCAUAUCUUAAGGAUGUCUGCCGAUCUAUAAAUAUUCUUUGAAUAACCUGACAGUGUAAGAAAAUCUUUUUAACAAUAUGUAGGCCAUCACUAGAGAAGCUGAAGAAUUUGGAUUAGGGCAAAAAAAGUACUAUAUGAUAUUAGCAUUAACAGCAAUAUCUCUACAAACUAUGAUGAUUGGAAGUCUUGGGAUGAUUUUCUGCUCCUCAGCACUAUUGUUUGGGAUAGUAAAUGCACUUCUAAUUCCAAUACAACAAAUAUUUGCUGUCAUUUUCUUGCCUGAAAGCUUCAAUUCUGACAAGUGGAUGGCUUUAGCUAUGUGUCUUUGGGGUUUUGCUUCUUAUUUCUAUGGAGAAUAUAAAGAUAGCAUGACCAACAAGGUUACAAAAAAUAAACAUGCUACCCUGCCAGACCAAGUUUGAAUAACAUUAAUGUUACUUUUUCUGUAUGUAUUCAGUGAUGUACGCAUAAUUUAAUGUAUGUAAUAUAUUAGUAUUACAACUCUGGCAGUAUGAGAAUUUGGGUCGUCUUGGAUCGUGGAGUUCUUAUAAGACGUUUAUUUUUCGAUUGUAAAUUGAUGCAUGUUUAUUUUGAUUACUUUUUAAGCGAUGUCAGUAUGUUGAGUAUUUAUAGUAGCGGAGCCAGGAAUUUUUUAAAAAAAAUUUAUGCCAAGAAAAUUUAACAACUUAUAUAUUAUUUGCAAAAAGAUAACAAAUAAAUCAUCUUUACCCUAUUUAAAUGCAUAGUACAAUUUUUCAACUUCGACCCCUUUGCCUCUGCCCGGUAUGUGAAUAUAUGUUAUGUACAUGUAUAUAUAUAUUAUCGAAGGCGGAGCUACAGUAUUAGAUACUAUACUAAAACAUAGUACUAGCUAGUUUCAUUUUUAUUUCUAACUUGGUCAUCAAAUGUUUUAUGUAUUGCUUUAGUUCAAGCAACAAAUUGUAUUUCAUGCUCUUUAUUCGUUACAUGAUUUCUUCUUUGUAUAGAUAUAUAUAUAGAAUCUAUGAAGUAUAUUUUGUGCUAUAGCCCCUCCUAUCUGAUAGAAAAGGAUCCCAUAAUCCUGAACCGAUCUUAUAUGGGGUUAUAAAUCCCAAGUUUGUCUAUGAAGAGAGGAUCUAAUUGUAUUAGUGUCUAUAAAUGAUUUCUUCUGUGUAAUAUAUACUAAUUGAUAAGACCUCAUUGAUAAGUGUAUAUUUUAUAAAUAAUUAUAUACUAUAUCAAUAAUCCCUCUGUCCCAUGUUAGAUGAUGGUCAUCUUACUGAAAAUAUUUGUCUCAUAUUACUUGAUCACUUACUAAAUAAAAAUAAAAUUAAUAAAAUUUUCUCGUUUUACCCCUAUAAUUAAUAUGACUUUUGGAAGUUUAAACAAAUUUUAAAGAUCUAAUUUUUUAAGAGUCUAAUUAAUAUGAACAAAGGACAAAAUAGUAAAAUUGAUCAAUCUAUUAUUGAUUUCUUAAUCACCAUGUUAAAUAGAAAUCGUUCAUCUAAUAUAAAACAAAUGGAAUAUUAUAUAAAUAUAAUGUAUAACCAAAUAUAUAUGAUGUAUAAUUAAUAAAUUAUGUAUUGCUGAUGUAUAUAUACAUCCAUCCUGGUUUUUUUAAAAAAUAUUUAUCACCAUAUGGUGGUGAGACCUCUAUAUUGAUGAAUAAAAUUGUCAAGCUAAGGAGAGCUUAAGCUCGAUCCAUUGUUCCAGUAAUUGCUUAGCAAAAACUAAGAUUCUGAUAAAGACUAUAUUCAAGUUUCAACAGUUAGGGCUUUUGGCCCUAAUUUCUUUUAUUCAUUUAUAUAUUUCUAUUAUUUUCUUUUUCUAUUAUUAUUAGCAACAAAAUAAUCCUUUAUUAAAUCUGAAAAUCGUGUCUCUUAUUCUUAUAAGCCAUAAAUUAUUUAUAAAAGCUACCAAAAAGGGUUAAUAUAAAAAUAAGGGAAAGGGGUCAAAAAUACCCCUCAACUUUGGUUUAUUGUUUGACUACGCCCUCGCCGUUAAAAUGAAGUUAUUUUUACCCCUCCCGUUACUAAUUUCACCAAAUUUACCCCUCAAUUGGAUGGAAAACCCAAAUCAAUUAAAAUUACCCAAUUUCAAUUAAAUAACCCAAUUUUUUCUCUUUUUAAUCCAAACCCGACCCAUUUAUACCAAAUUAAACCCCCAAAUCAAGCUCCGGCAAUCGCCAUUCAUUUUCUCCGUUUUCCGGCGAAACACCACCAAAACAACCUCCAAACGACCACCUGAAACCACCACUAAAAACCCCCAAGAACCAGAAACGACAUCAAGCAAAAAACAUUAACAACAAACCCAUUUUCCUCUACUUUCCAUUGACGACAACAAGAUCUUUCUUCUCCAUUUCCGGCCAGUUUCAAGCUGGAACAACAUUAAGCAAAUUACCCACCGUCGGAAUCAUUCAAACAGCCGUGAAACCGACCUGAAACAGCUCUCAAACACCACUCUCUCCACGCCAAAAUCGUAACAGAUCAAACCAACAACACAAUCAGGCGAGAAUCAAGGCUCGAAAACAACAGCCACAACUUCAUAUCUGGCUAGGCUCAACAAGCAAGCAAUAUCAUAGUUUCAGAUCUGCCCGCAGGAAAGCAAAAUCCGAUGAUUGAACGAGCUCCAAGCUCCGAAUAGUGGUGCAAUUUUAGUAGGAAGGACAAAUAUGCAUUAGUUUAACUACAAAAUAUUUGUUGUCAAUUUUAGUAGUAUGUGUUUCAAUGGAAGAAGGAGAUGGAGAAGAUUAGAGAGAUGGGUUUAGGGUUCUAAUUUGAUAUAAAUGGGUCGGUUUGGAUUAAAAGAGAAAAUCGGGUCAUUUACUUGAAAUUGGGUAAUUUUAGUUGAUUUGGAUUUUUCAUCCAAUUGAGGGCAAAGGGUCAAAAAUACCCCUCAACUUUGGUUUAUUGUUUGACUACGCCCUCGCCGUUAAAAUGAAGUUAUUUUUACCCCUCCCGUUACUAAUUUCACCAAAUUUACCCCUCAAUUGGAUGGAAAACCCCAAAUUGACUCAGUUUAACCCAAAUUUUAAAAAAAGACCCAUUCCCCAUUUUAAACCCAAUGCCCGACCCAUCCAAAGUUGAGGGGUAUUUUUGACCCUUUUCCCUAAAAAUAAUGGUUAAAAUUAUAAAACGACUAAGAGGGUCGUUACAAUCUAUAUUUUAAUGUUUGUUCUAUUAUAAUUAAUAUUUAUCUAACACGUAUUUAACUUAUCAGAUUGAAUGCUUAUUUACCUUUUUAAACCCAUUUUGUCAGCCUUAUCUUAUAAACUUUGUUUUCUCUAAAAAGAACAAAAUAAAGAGAGAAAGAUAAGAACGUAAUGUUAUGUCGAUAUACAGAUUGUUAUUGUCUUUCAUGUGCUUUAAUAAUUGGAAAAAAUUACGUAAUUACAUGAUUUUAGAUACCAUAAUUUUUGAAAAUUUCUACCAUUUGAAUUAAUUAUAAAACUUCUAUUUUUCCUUCUCUCUUUUAAUAUUCGGAUACAAUACUCUGCCUCUAUAUACAUUACAACUUUGUUUUUGUACAAUAUAUUUCACACAAAUAUUAUUGUCGAUACAUAACUUCAAUCAUUUUAAAUCUAAAUCAGUAUGAAUUUGAUUUAUAGUUAUGUAUCUGAUACAUAACUUAUAUAUCGUUUGCUAUAUAUCGAACUGAUGAGUAAUGUAUCCGCAAGUUUUGAAAAUUUCGAGAUUAUUGUAAUUUGAGAAAUUUUUGUGAUAGAAUGUAAUUAACACCAUUGUUGGGGUUUAUGUACUUCAUACCUAAUAAUUUCAAACAUGACUUGGCUUGUUUCAAUUUUGAAUAAUCUCGUUUUCUUUUCACCAACAAAAGUUAGAAAUCAAAUUAAAAACAAAACUUUUUGUUUGAAUAUUCCAAAUAUGUAUGAAGAAGUUGUCACCAAGCUAAGAUUGCUAAGUGCGCACCAGCGUCAAUUAUGCAUGUUAUGUACGUUUGAAUAUAAUUUUUUUUAUUUAAUCAUGACUAAAUUAACAUAUGUUUUUACUUUAUUAAAUCACUUGCUCAUGAUGAGUUGUAUUAUCGUCUAUAUAUUAUUUACUUAUCCUAAAUUUAAUUAGUUUUCAAAUGAUGGUUGGUUUACAAUCAACAACCGUAAAAGUGGCUAUUUGUUAAAAUUAUCCAAAAUGCGUAAAGCCCAGAAACUAAGAGCAUUAUAACAUGAAGUUUACAAUCAUAGAGGCCCAAAAUCAGGAUUCUAAUGGGCCACGGCCCAUAUAAAUGGUGGAUAAGCCCAAAUAGUUAAGAGGGGUGGAUGAACACAAUUUUAAACCAACAAACUAUUUUUCUUCAAUGUUUUUAAAUUAUAAUUGCUUUAGGUUGUACUCAAAAUUUACCUUUUAACACACUUAGUUUCAACAUAAUCCGUUCAAAAUUUUAUGAGUUUCACUUAUAUAAACUAACUUUGUUAUCAAUAGGCCAACAAAACACACAAAGAUAGUCUCUUCACGAAAAAUAUUUUUUUCAUGAAUAAUAUUUUUCAAUAGGAUAACUUUCGUCAUAUCGAGCACUUGUUAGUGACAUUGAAUAUGUGUUCAAAUUAUAACAAACCGUCAUUACAAAACCAUAAUACUCCAUAACCUAUCAAAUGGGUUGGGUCAAAACGAGUUAGGUAGUAGCUUAUAUAACGGGUCAAACCCAAUCCAAUUUAAUUUUUACCAAACUUAAUUAUUUUAUUUGUUUUUAAAACUAUUUUAGUACAUAGUAAAAUUAUUGUUUUCUUUUAUUACAGUUAUAAAUGACAUAUCGAAUUGAAAAAAAAAAUUAAAAAUAUUUUGACUAGAUUUCUCAUGAGUCAAUUUGGUUUACAUAUCAACUCAAUUUUUAAUGAAUUGAGCUAAUGAACGGAUGAGUUAAUAACCCACCCAAACUUAACGGAACGAGCAGGUUGGGUUUCAUUUGUCACCCCUACCUAUAGGCUAAAUAUACCGUAUCAAUACAUUACUUAGACAUGCGGCCAUUUUAAAAAGUAAAAGUUUUUUUUAUCACCUGUAAAAUAUUAGGCAAUAUUUGAAGGUAAUAUAGUUUCAAAAUAAAUACAAUACAUUUCAUACAUAUAAAAAAUCAACACAUUUGUUAAAUGAAGAUUAAAUAUAUAUGCUUAUCUAAAUAUCAUAAGAAACAAAACAAGAAUUUACUAAUAAUUAUCAUUAUAUUAUAUUUAGUGGCAAUAAUAACUAUGAGUAUUUAUAUAAUCAACACUAUAUAUAUGCCGCUAAAAGUUUUAGUGAUUCUAAAUAUAAAGAUAUUAACUCAAUUACUAAAUAUUUAUAUGGUAAUAAAUAUUGUCGUUAAAAAAAUAAUCUAUUACCACAAUAUAUUUCUUUUGUCAGUAUAGUAAUUAAUAAUUGAGUUGAGUGAUCCUUUUUCCACCAGAGAUAAUGACAUGAAUUUAUGCCUAAUUCACAUAAAAAUGAAAAUUCAAUAUUAAAAUGGACAAAUAAAACCUACCCUUUCUCUCUCUGCACCAUAUGCAUACUUUAGAGUUUAAAUCUAUCAACUAUAAAAGUAGGGUGACAAAUAAAUAAAUUGGGUCAAAUUUGAAUGGGUUAGAACGAAUUGAAUUAGAUUACUGAAUGAAUUAUAAUUUAACCUAUUUUGUAAUUGUGCAGUGACAAAAAUAUUUCAAUGAUAUAUAUAUAUAUAUAUUGUAUUGAUGUUGUAUAAAUAGUUAGGUAAUAUAUCGAUAUUGUAUAAAUAAUGUAUAACUUAGUAUAUAUGACUUUUUUCACCACUUAUUUAGUUAUUUAUAAUCAGAAUUACAUCAUUUAUUAUAAUCAGAAUCAAGUAAACAUCGCUUUUUUCAUAUGCUUGAAAAUGAUCCAUACUAGCUAGUGUGAAUUUUCUUUUUAUACGGCACCUUAGUGCUUGUCCACUUUUUCAUGAUUGACAAAAAAAACAAUACUUCCAAAUAUAGUUUUAAAAAGGAAGAAAAUAGGGUAAUCCAAUUAAAUAUCAUAAGUCAUAAUAAUAACAAUUAUAUGCAUUAUUGGCUUCAUUUUUAAUUUUGACAUAAAGUAGAUAUAACUUUAAGCGCUUUUAGCUUUCAUUAAAUUCAAGAAUCAAUUAAUUAACAAUGCUUUUGCAUAUCAAUUUUGAAUUCAUAAGUAUAGUUUGAAAUACUUUUACUCCCUUUAUUUCUAUUUACAUGUCGUCCUUAAUAAAAAUAGGUGUUUCUUAAUAUUUGUUAUUUAAUUAAGACAAUGCAUAAAUGAAACUAUUCUUUCUAUUUUAUCCUUGAGAGUUAUUAGCCUUGAAAAUAUGCAUUUCACCAAUAUAGGAAAAACUAAGUAAAUAAUUCAUGUAUAUUGGUCAAAUUAAUUAAUCAAAAUAAAUAUAUUCAUGUUCAUUGAUUGAAAACUUGACUUUAAGAUAACACUAAAUAAGGUACGUGAAAUCUAAAAUAAUGAUAGCUAAAUUGGAAUGGAGAAAGUAUUAAAGAGGCAAAGUCACAUGAUCAUAUGAUGUUAAAUUGCCUUAUUACUAGGAUACUCUACUUUUCUUCCUUUACAAUGUUAAUGGUAUUUGCAACAAAUUUUAAAGCGAAAGAAAAUAAAUUACAAUCACAAAUAAAAUAUGAAGAAACAUAAUUUAUUGAUUAAGAUAUGUAAGUACAAUUUUGUUCCUCCCUUAUUCUUCUCUCAUAAGAUAUUUAUCCAUGAUUCGAGAGUUGUUAGUGACAUAUUUUUCGAACUAGGAUGAUUUGAAUUUAAUCUCCUUAUGAAUAUUUCAUGAAUUUGUAGAAUAUUCAUGAUGCCUCUUAAAGGGAAUAUAGUGCCCUUUAUAUAGACAUGAGGUAGGGUUUAAGGUUGAGUAGCCUCCAAGAAUCCUAAUUGAAAUUGAACACACCUUGUAGAAUCUCAACUCGAAUUGAACAUCUUGUAGAGUCCCAUAAAUUUUUAAUGUCUACAAGUGGCUUGUGCAAUAAUUAGUCCCUCUAAUCUAAAAUAAUCAUCAUCUUUGGACUUCCAAAUCUUAUUGACAUCCUCGUAGAUUUAACUUAUAGAUGGAUAAAAUGUCAUCACUUUUACUUAAUAGUCAAGUUCGAGUUAGCAAAAUUUAAUAUGAAUACAAGCAUUUUUAUUUAUGUUCUUAAUAGUAAGCGUUUUCCCCUAGUUUAAUAGAUCUUUUAUCCGGUGAUAAUCAAAAUUAACUGGGCGCAACAAAAUAUAAAAAAGAAAAAAACUUGUGCAUAUACUUAUCGCAUAAAGAAUUAUAUUAUUAUUAUUAUUAUUAUUAUUCUUGUUAUUAUUAUUAUUAUUAUUAUUAUUAUUAAUAAUAAUAAUAAUGUACUUUUGAUGAGAAAUAAUUACUUAUGAAAUUUGAUAAGUAUAUGUCUGUUAGUUAAAGUGAGUAAUAAUAUAUAUUAAGUUUGUUGUGGGAAUAUUGUGGGUUAACUAGGAUACAAUUACAAAUAAAGAAAAUAGAGAGAAGAAAAAUAAUACAAGGAUUUAACGAGGUUUUGGCUAGGCCUAACUUCCUUGAUUAAAACAUUUUGUUCAAAGAAAUUUCCCUCAAAAAGUCAAAUACACCCUAUAUAAAGUCAAAUUAAUACUCCCACCAUUUUUAAAAAAAAAGAUCUAUUUUGACUUGGCAUGAAAUUUAAGAAAAUAAAGAAAAAAUUCCAAUCUUGUGGUCCUAAAUUAAAGUUAUGUCAAAGCCCUUUAAUCUUGUAAUCUUAAAUAUGUCACAUGAAAAAUAUAAGUUAAAAUGUUGCUAAAAAAAUGAAAGUAAGUCAUUCUUUUUUAAACAGAAUAAAAAAAGUAAGUCAUUUUUUUUUUAAACUGAUGGAGUAGCUAGUAGCUUUCCUCUUUGGCUUAAUGGCUUAUAUGUAUCACAUUCAAUAACUUCAUCAAAUGAGAGUCACAUUUCUUGCAACUAGCUCUACCUAGUGCUACUACUAUAAUUAAAUACAUACCCCCCACAAAUACCUCUCAAACACAUCACAAAAAAAUAUGGACAUGGAAAUAGAGCAAGAGGGCAACUAUGAUAAGCCUAAGAAACUCAAGAAUUUCAUGUCAAUUAAGUCACUUCUUAUCCUCAUAUAUUCUAUCUUCUUUUCAAUUGGCCAAAUAUCAGGUGCAUUACUUGUUAGAAUUUACUUCUUACAUGGUGGAAAAAGAAAAUGGUUGCAAUCUUUUUUGCUAACAGCAGGGUUCCCAAUCUUGAUUUUACCAAUUUCAAUUUCUUAUAUAAAAAAAAGAAAAAAAUUUACUACUACUAAUAUCAAUAUUAGAGUUUUUGUCACACCUAAAUUAGCAAUAUUUAGUGCUAUUUUAGGCAUACUUCUUGGUAUUUGUAGCUACCUCUACAACUUUGGCAUGUCUUAUCUCCCCAUUUCGAUUUCUUCUCUCCUUGGUUCAACGUCCCUAGCAUUCACCGCGAUUUUCGCGUAUUUCAUGGUGAAACAUAAGUUCACAGAUUAUUCCGUGAACGCGGUGGUGUUGAUGAUGUUAGGGUCGAUUAUAUUAGGGUUACACAUGAAUAGAGAUCGUCCGAUAGGUGAAUCGAAUCGACAAUACACAUUAGGGUUUGUGAUGACACUUGUUGGUGCGGCUCUUCAUGGAUUUGUAAAUGCAGGAGUGGAGUAUAGUCAUGUUAAAGCUGGAGUUGUUGUCACGUUUGAUCUUGUCAUGCAAAUGCAAUUUCUUAUAUCAAUGUUCUCAGCUUUGUUUUGUAUCGUCGCCAUGAUUAUCAAUAAAGAUUUUCAGGUAACCGUCUUUUUUAAAGUUUAAGCCGUUAGAAAAGAAUUAUAGAUAGUCAUAUAUAGUAACGUACGAUAUCCAUUUUAUUUUAGCAUUUUACUUAUAUAAACUAGUAAAUUAGAAGUAUAUAUAAAUUUUAUAUUACAAGUGUAAUUUAAUCUACUAUAACAUGUUAUUUAUCUUAUAUGAGAAAUUAAAUAGUCUAGCAAAGGAAACAUUAUAUAACAAUUUUUAAAAUAGUUAAAAGAAUUUAAAUUCAUAAAAGUCGUGAAAACACUAUAUAAAGUAGUACAAUUGCUUCGUUCUGCUUUAUGUGAUAUACUUUAUGUGAUAUAUUUUGAAUUGACCAUGAUGACGAAACUUACCAAAGAAAUGAAGAUUUCUAAAAUGAAAAAGGAAGAAAGAAUUCGAGUUAACAAUGACACGAACUUUCUUUCUCUUUAUAAGAGUGAUCACUUAAAAAAAAACUUCUUUUUUUUGUGUGGUUAAGAAAAAAAGCCUGCUUUUCAAAAGAUAAUCAAGCAGCGUCAAUGACAAGAACUUUUUUAUUUACAAGAGUGAAAAAGAAAUUUUAUGUAAUUAUAAAUGGGAUAUGUUAGCGAUUUAUCUUUCUUUUUAGUCCGUUUAUACAAAAUAUCUUCUUCUCUAUAUUCAAUAAUUCUUUAAUUAAUUCCAAUAUUUUACAUGACUUUUUUUAAAAUCAGAAAGAUUCAAAGGGCAUUUUUGAUACAUUACAUAUAUGUAUGCAUCUUCAAUUUAAGACCACAAAGUUAAAAGAUCUCUUUUUAGUUUUCUAAAAUUUCAUGCAUAGUCAAACUACGACGCUUAAAUUAACAUCGAGAAAGUAUUUUUUUCUUUAAGAGUUUAAGAUAUAUACGUCAUCCAUGUAAAUCAUAUGCACGCAACACCAUCAGAUCAUGUUACAUGUUAUAGCAUGUAACCUGUUUUAUUUGCAUGCAAGAUUACAAAUCUCACAUCUUAAGGAUGUCUGUCUAGCUAUAAAUAUUCUUUGAAUAACCUGAGAGUGUAAGAAAAUCUUUUUAACAAUAUGUAGGCCAUCACUAGAGAAGCUGAAGAAUUUGGAUUAGGGGCAAAAAAAGUACUAUAUGAUAUUAGCAUUAACAGCAAUAUCUCUACAAACUAUGAUGAUUGGAAGUCUUGGGGAUGAUUUUCUGCUCCUCAGCACUAUUGUUUGGGAUAGUAAAAUGCACUUCUUAUUCCAAUACAACAAUAUUUGCUGUCAUUUUCUUGCCUGAAAGCUUCAAUUCUGAUAAGUGGAUGGCUUUAGCUAUGUGUCUUUGGGGUUUUGCUUUCUUAUUUCUAUGGAGAAUAUAAAGAUAGCAUGACCAACAAGGUUACAAAAAAUAAACAUGCUACCCUGCCAGACCAAGUUUGAAUAACAUUAAUGUUACUUUUUCUGUAUUCAGUGGUGUACGCAGAAUUUUAUGUAGUAAGUAAUUUAUUAGUAUUACAACUCUGUCAGUAUGGGAGUUUGGGUCGUCUUGGAUUGUGGAGUUCUUUUAAGAUUUUUAUUUUCGAUUGUAAAUUGAUGCAUGUUUAUUUCGAUUACUUUUUAAACGAUGUCAGCAUGUUGAGUAUGUAUAGUGUGGCGGAGCCAGAAAUUUUGAAACAAAUUGUAUUUCAUGCUCCAUUUUGUUUUUAUCUUGCAAUACAGUGUAGACAUUCUUUUUCUGGCAUUGUGUAGCGACCGAUUGUUAAUGCCUGGUAUUCGAAUAUUUGUUUGAGGCAUUUUAUAUAUUUUUUUUAUUCUGAAAAAAAAAGGACAUCUUAUGUUUUUGAACAGAUAACCAUCUUUUGAUAAUAUAGUCUCCUCCGUCCCUUGGGACUAACAAGGAAUACUAUAGAAAUAUUCAGAUGUUGUCCAUCAACUACGCCUUUCGGCCUGAUCUUAAGCCAAUGAACAAAUCGAAAAAGAAAUCUUUAUUGGUCUACCUCCUAUUUUUUAUAUAUGAAGAGAAUGAAUCUUUUUUCUUGAAUGAUCAGAAAAAAAUGAGUUCAGAUCUCCUGCUGGAAUAAUUUUGUCGGAGUUUAUUUAUUGCAUGAAACAACUCGCAAUAUGGGUCUAGCUAUAGAAAUUCUCUUUCGUUAUAUGAUUUCUUCUUCAUAUAGAUAUAUAUAGAAUCUAUGAAGUACAUUUUGUGCUAUAACCCUUCCUAUCUGAUUGAAAAUGAUCCCAUGAUUCUGAACUGGUUUUACCUGGGGUUGCAAAUCUCAAGUUUGUCUAUGAAGAGCGGAUCUAAUUGUAUUAAUGUCUAUAAUACUAAUCGAUAGGACCUCAUUGGUAAGUGUAUAUUUUAUAAAUAAUUAUAUACUGUAUGAAUACUCCCUUCAUCCCAUGUUAGAUGGACAUCUUACUGAAAAUAUUCGUCUCAUAUUACUUGAUCACUUACUAAAUCAAAAUAGAAUUAAUUAAAAAAUUUUGUUUUAUCCCUACAAUUAAUAUGACUUUUGGAAGUUUAAAUAAAUUUUAAAGAUCUAUUUUUUAAGAGGCUAAUUAAUAUGAACAAAGGACAAAAUGGUAAAAUUGAUCAAUGUAUUAUUGAUUUCUUAAUCACCAUGUUAAAUAGAAAGCGUUCAUUUAAUAUGAAACAAAUGGAGUAAUAUAUAAAUAUAAUGUAUAACCAAAUAUAUAGAUGAUGUAUGUAAUUAAUAAAUUUUGUAUUGCUGAUGUACAUACAUCCAUCCUGGGGUCAAUAAAACUACACUCCUGAUGGGUUUGUACUUGAAGUUUCACCUUAUCGAUAAACAAAUUGAUUUUAAUUCAAUCCCCUUUCCUAUUUUCCCAACCACAAUAAAUAAAUAAAGUAGUAGAAGAAAAAACCAUUAUCUGGAUUACAUGGUGAGGCAAAUUAAAGGAACAAUUAAGCUUAAGAAUUACACAACUUAUUUAUAAUCGCAAUCAAGUAAACAUCACUUUUUUCAUAUGCUUGAAAAUGAUCGGUUCGGUUUUAUAUAUUAUUGAUUUGGUUUAUCGGUUUUCAGUUUUUAAAUACAUUAAACCAAUAACCAAAUCCAUAAGAUAUUUUUUAUCGGUUUCGAUUUAUCGAUUUUUGUUCUUAACGGUUCGGUUUUCGGUUUAACCAAGAAAAUACUUAUAAAACAAAUAUGUGAUUUCUCUCUAAAUUUGGCGCGACAAUACAACAGUGUAACUUUACAAAUGCUCAUAAAAUAGAAACAAUAAUAAGAAAAACCUAAAAAGAGCUAUACAAGUGUAACACAAAGAGAAAUUAAGAGCAAUAUGAUUCUUACUUUAGGUUCUGACAUUUUGUAUAAUGAGAUGCUGUAAACUCAAAGUCACUGUGAAGUGUGAAUUAAAGGCUAUAGGACAAAAAAAUAACUAGUAAGAUAUUAAAAUUGAUAUUUAAUAUUUAUGUACAAGUAAAAGUAGUAAAUUACUAGUCUUAAUGAGUUAUUGGUUUACCCAAUAACCUAAUAUUAAAAACAAAUACCAAACUAAUAACCCAAUAAUUUUUUUUUAUAAAACCAUUAAAAAUCGUUAAUCCAAUAACAAUAAACCAAUAACAUUUUUUCGAUUCGAUUUCCCCGUGUAAAUUUCUUUUUCAUAUGGCACCUUAGUGCUUGUCCACUUUUUCACAAUUGACAAAAAAAUAAUUCAAAUAUAAGUUUUAAAAAAUAGGGCAAUCCAAAAUAUCAUAACAAUAUCAAUAAGCAUGAUUGGCUUCAUUUUUACUUUUGACAAAAAGUGGAUUCAUCAUUAAACACUUUUAACUUUCAUUAAUUUCAAGAAUCAAUUAUGCUUUUGUAUAUUAAUAUUGAAUUCGUAAGUAUAGUUUGAAUAAUUUUUAUUAAAUUAAAGAUGCUAAGUCACACAAUCAUAUGAUGUUAUACUGCCUUAUUACUCUAGGACUAGCUAAGAUCAUAUACACUCUACUUUUCUUCCUAUACAAUAAUGUUAGUGGCUUGUGCAACAACUAGAAUCUCUAUUCUAUAAUAAUAAUAAUAAUAAUAAUAAUAAUCCUUUAGGACUUUCAAUAUUGACAUCCUCGUAGAUUUAAGUUGUACUAUAUUAUCAAAGAUGGUGGUGAAAUGGAUAGAAUAUAUUCUACUCUUAACUAAAGGAGCUAAAUCCAAGGAUCUUAUUCCACCUUAUUCUUCACUAUUCUUAAUUAAUAAUCUCAAAUUUGAGUCUAAAACUGGAGAAGUUUAUGCUAGAGAACACUUACCUAAGACCUGAUUAAGGAUGAACCAGUCCACCACCGCAACACAACCCAUGUCGGUAUGUUUAAGUGUUAGUUAAAAUGAGUAGUAUGAAGUUAGAAUUUGAUAUAGUUAUCAGAAAAUAGACUUUCAUAAAAAAAAAAAAAAAAUCUCGUCGUACCAAAUACUAGAAAACAAUUUCCUUUAAAAACAUUUUCGCUCAAAAGACAAAUACACCUCAAUCUAAAGUCACUUUAACUUAUAUGUACCACUAAUAAACAUACACCUAGAAAUUAAUAUCUCUCUCACACAUUCACAAAAAAAUAUGGACAUGGAAAUUGAGCAAGAGGGCAACUACAAUAAGCCUAAGAAACUCAAGAAUUUCAUGUCAAUUAAGACACUUCUUAUUCUCAUAUAUUGUAUCUUCCUUUCAGUUGGCCAAAUAUUAGGUGUAUUGCUUGUUAGAAUUUAUUAUUUACAUGGUAGGAAAAAGAAAAUGGUUGCAAUCUUUAUUGCUAACAGUAGGAUUCCCAAUCUUGAUUAUACCAAUUUCAAUUUCUUAUGUCAAAAAAAAGACAAAAAAAUACCAAUAACAAUAAUAUUAGAUUUUUUGUCACACCUAAAUUAGCAAUAUUUAGUGCUAUUUUAGGUAUCCUUCUUGGUAUUUGUAGCUACCUCUACACUAUUGGCGCGUCAUAUCUUCCCGUUUCGUUUUCUUGUUAAGUUUGAUAAUUCUGGAUCAAUGCAAGAUCCAUGGAUGAGAGCAACAUUGAGAGGAAUGAAAAGAAUUAUGUGUCUUGAUUAAUCACAAAUGCAAUACAAGGAUAUCUAUACAAUCCUAUUGUAACCAACUUGAAUAGCUACUACCUAACUGACUGCUACAGUGUAUAACUAACUUUUCUAACAAACUAUUCUACUCACACUUCUAACAGUGCAAUGUAUAAUGUAACAGCUUGUAACUAACUUCACUAAUGUACACUGAUGCAUGUAUUCAAUUUCUUUACACCCUCCUUCAAGCUAGGAACUAUGAAGACAUUUUUCAUCCCUAGCUUGGACAUAAGAUGCACAUGUGGAGUUCUCCCAAGUGCUUUGGUGAGGAUAUCAGCUGGCUGUUCUGUAGAUAAUAGAUAGGUGGUGACAAAUAGUCCAGCUUGAAUUUUCUCCCUAAUGAAAUGACAAUCGAUGUUACUAUGUUUCGUACGUUCAUGGAAAACAGGAUUAGCUGCGAUCUGAAGUGCUGAAGUACUGUCUGAAUACAAAGAGACAGGCAGUGAAAUAUUAACACCAAGAUCUUGAAACAAACCUACUAACCAAACUUUCUCAGCAACAGUUGAGGCCAUAGCCCUGUAUUCUGCCUCAGCUGAACUUCUAGAUACUGUAAGUUGUUUUUUCGACUUCCAUGAUAUAAGUGAAUCUCUAUGUUGAACCAAGUAACCAGUAAUAGAUCUUCUACUAUUAAUACAAGAACCCCAAUCUGCAUCACAAAACACCUUCAACACAUUAUUUCCUGAUGAUGACAUUAAAAUUCCCAAGCCCGGAGCUGAUUUCACAUACUUCACAAGCCUCAAUGCAGCAUCUAAAUGUGACCUUUUAGAAGAAUGCAUGAACUGGCUCAGACUUUGUACAGCAAAUGAGAUAUCUGGCCUAGUUGUGGUAAGAUACAACAGUCGUCCAACUUAAUCUUUGAUAACUAGCAGGGUCAUCUAACAAUGGAUCAUCAUGCUCAGAUGGUAUUAUAUCAUCAAACUCAGUACUUGUAAGUUUCAGGUUCAAUUCCAUUGGAGUAGAGACUGGUUUAGCUCCUGCUAACCCCAUGUCUGCAAUCAGCUCCAAAGCAUACUUCCUUUGGUGUAUAAGAAUACCUGCCUCAUUCCUGGCAAAUUCCAACCCAAGGAAGUACUAUGACUAUCCUGUUAUCCUUAAAAACAUGUUUCAAUGUUUCUUUGGUUUCUUGAAUCAUUUGGCAAUCACUGCCAGUUAUCAGCAGAUCAUCUACAUACAUGAGUACUAUGACUAUCCUGUUAUCCUUCUUCUUGACAAGAAGAGAAUAAUCUCUAGUACUUUGAGUAAAACCUGAGGCAAUCAAGGUGGUGGUGAGUUUAAUGUUCCAUUGCCUUGAAGCCUGUUUAAAGCCAUAGAGGGAUUUUAACAACCUGCACACUUGGUUACCUGCAGACUUGCAGUUAAACCCUUCUGGUAGCUGCAUGUAUACUUCUUCAUUCAAAUCACCUUGCAAAAAAGCAUUGUACACAUCUAUUUGAUGGAUUUUCCAAUGGUUAGUGGCUGCUAAAGACACAACAGUCCUAACAGUAGCCAUCUUAACUACAAGUGAAAAAGUUUCUUGAUAAUCAAAACCCUCCUUCUGAUUGUAUCCAUCUAGCUUUGAAUCUUUCAACUGUACCAUCUGCAUUGUAUUUGAUUUUAUAGACCCAUUUACAUCCUAUGGCCUUCUUGCCUCUUGGUAGAUCUACAAGUUUCCAUGUCUUGUUAUCCACUAAUGCAUUAAUCUCACACUUCAUGGCUGCUAUCCAUCUAGGAUCUGAGGCAGCCUCUUUGUAAGUAGUAAGUUCAACCUCAGUUGAAAAUUUAGAGAUAAAACUCUGAUACCUGGGGGUGAGACCAUUAUAAUUCAAAACUGAAUCAAUGGAAUAGAGACAGUUAUUUGAACCAGCCUUAGUAACAUAAUCCUUGUGCCAUAUAGGAGGUCGAGUGCCUCUAGUAGAUCUCCUGAUUGAAGUUGUAGAGUUGAGGGAAUGAUAUGAGGAAUGUGCUGUAUUAGGAACCUGCUCAUUGGAAAGUGACUGACCAGUGUCAGUAGGAGGCAGAACAAUAUUUGGAGCUGGAACCAGUUCAUCAAAUACAAAGUGAUUGGUGGUGGACAAUUGACCCUAUUCAGUGUUAACACUAUCUUGAAAAGGGAAAACUGGUUCCAUAAAAACAACAUCUCUGCUCAUAAAGAAUGUUCUAUUUUCCAAAUCAUACAACUUGUAACCCUUUUGAGUAACACCAUAUCCAACUAAAACAGCUCUCACAGCCUUAUGACUGAACUUGUCAUGUCUGACUAGAUUUGUGGCAAAACACAAACAGCCUAGGACUCGCAAAUGAGCAAAUGUAGGAGGCUUACCAUAUAGUCUCUCAAAAUGAGUAACAUCAUUUAUAACUGUGGAAGGUAUUCUAUUCAAAAUAUAAAACUGCAGACUGAAUACAAAGACCCCAAAACCUAUUAGGGAAGUUAGCUUGGAACUUAAUUGCUCUUGCAGUCUCAAGGAUAUGUCUAUGGCGUCUCUCUACCACUCUAUUUUGCUGAGGCGUGUAAGGACAAGAACUCUCAUGUAUGACACCAUGAAGCUGGAAAAAAUCAUUGCAGUUGGUGUUAAAGAAUUCAGAACCAUUAUCAGAUCUCACCCUCUUAAUCUUGAUGUUAAAUUGUGUCUCUAUUUCAACAAGAAAUGUUUUAACAGUUAAUACAUCAGACUUCAAUCUCAUAAAAAAUGUCCAUGUCCACCUUGAAUAGUCAUCCACAAUGUAAAAAAAUAUCUACAUUCCAUUAAAAGUUUCUACUCUAUAAGGCCCCAACAUCCAUAUGCAACAAUUGAAAAAUACAUGUAGAUUGACUAGUACUUUGUGGAAAUGACAGUCUAGUUUGCCUUGCAAGAGGACAAACUUCACAACUAUGUAAACAAGUUUGGUAUUACCAGAACUAUGAAACAUAGGAAUUUUUCUGACCACACUCAUAGGUACAUGACAUAAUCUUUUGUGCCAAACAUUUGCAUCAAUGUCUUGUGUUACUGCUAAGCAUCUCUGUGGUGGUGACUUAUUUGCCUCCCCUGUCUGUGUGCAUAAUGUAUAUAGUCCAUUCUCUUCUCUACCAGUCACCCUCACCUUCCUAGACAAGAGGUCCUGAAAAACACAAUAUUUUGGGGAAAAAGUAACACUGCAAUUCAAAUCUUUUGUCACUUGAGAAACUGACAUGAGAUUGAACUGAAAAACAGGUACACAUAAGACUUGUCUAAGAAUAUCACCUCCACCUAUAUGACAGUCCCCAAUGUGUAAUACUUUAGCAGAAUCACCAGGGUAGCUGAACAUGAGAAGCCCCAGUGUCAACAAUCCAGGUUAAUGAAUCAGCCUUAUGAAUAGGUGAGAUACCUGCCAUAUGUGCAGUUCUAGGUUUAUCAGCAAGUGUAGCUUGAUCCAGCAUUCUGUUGUCCUGGAGUAAACAUAGGCAUAGAUUGAUGAUACUGAUAUUGAUGGGAAGGAGAUGCCAUAUACUGAUGUUGCUGUUGUAAAACUCCUGCAUCAUAUAUCGAAUUACCAGCUACAACAUUGUGCUGCUGCUGCUGCUGUAAAAUUCCUGCAUCAUAGAUCGAAUUACCAGCUGCAACAUUGUGCUACUGCUGCUGUAAAACUCCUGCAUCAUAGAUCGAAUUACCAGCUACAACAUGAUCUCUCCUGCCCUUGUAGUUAGGUGGAUAUCCAAUGAGCUUAUAACAGUUAGUUUUAAGAUGACCAGUCUUAUGACAAAAAUCACAUUUCAUCAACUUGAGACAGUUAAUUUUCAGAUGUCCUUUCACAUUACAAAAUUCACAUAAGGCAUGAGGAUUGUAAGGCUUCUUUUGCUGCUUCUGAGUGCCUGAUUCAAAUCUAUUUGUGAAUAAUACUGUCGGUGCUAAAUUCUCAGGUGAUAUCCUGCUCGAAUUAGCAACAAUUCUCUGGCUUUCAUCCUGAUUAAUCAUGGCAUAUGCCUGAUUAACAGUAGGCAGUUGAGACAUCAAUAAAAUUUGGCUCCUAGCUUGGCUAUAGUUAUCAUUGAGUCUCAUGAGGAAUUGUAACAUUCUCUAAAACUGUAAGUGCUCAAAGAAAUCCCUAGAUUUAGAACAUGUGCAAGAGGAAGGAGGCAUGAUAGAAUCAUAUUCAUCCCAUAGAUCCUUAAGCCUAGAGUAAUGUAACAACCCGUAUCCGAAACAUACCAAAAAUGCAAAUUUUGAGAAGUUGCAGGUGCAACUUACGGUCACCAUCCAUGGACCGUAGGUCAGACUACGGCCCAUGCUGGUGGUCCGUGGUUCACCACUGCAACCCCUCCCUAAACCCAACUCAGAAAAUUUACUAAGUCUCGACUUACGGAUAGACCCACGGUCCGUAGAUCAAACCACGGUCCGUGGUCUGUGUCCGUGGAUGAAGACCCCCUUUACCUAGCCUCUGACACAAACUACGGUCGACCAGCACGGACCGUCGUUCGAUCCACAGUCCGUGGAUGGCAACCGUAGAUGAGGGUCAGCAACCAUUAGCUGAAAAUUCUGAUGGGUCAACUUCAGAUAGUCAUAACUUUUAUCACAAAAGGAAUUGUGUGUCCCAUGACCUAUGGUAUGAUAUAUAAUUGAAUUAUCUUUCCAACGCCACCGAGUUUGCUAAAUUCCGACCUCCGAGUAAAAAGUUAUGCUCGUUUUAGUGAAGCCCUGUCGGGCAGACUCGACCUACGGACCCAAUCGACGGACCGUCGAUUGAAUNNNNNNNNNNNNNNNNNNNNNNNNNNNNNNNNNNNNNNNNNNNNNNNNNNNNNNNNNNNNNNNNNNNNNNNNNNNNNNNNNNNNNNNNNNNNNNNNNNNNNNNNNNNNNNNNNNNNNNNNNNNNNNNNNNNNNNNNNNNNNNNNNNNNNNNNNNNNNNNNNNNNNNNNNNNNNNNNNNNNNNNNNNNNNNNNNNNNNNNNNNNNNNNNNNNNNNNNNNNNNNNNNNNNNNNNNNNNNNNNNNNNNNNNNNNNNNNNNNNNNNNNNNNNNNNNNNNNNNNNNNNNNNNNNNNNNNNNNNNNNNNNNNNNNNNNNNNNNNNNNNNNNNNNNNNNNNNNNNNNNNNNNNNNNNNNNNNNNNNNNNNNNNNNNNNNNNNNNNNNNNNNNNNNNNNNNNNNNNNNNNNNNNNNNNNNNNNNNNNNNNNNNNNNNNNNNNNNNNNNNNNNNNNNNNNNNNNNNNNNNNNNNNNNNNNNNNNNNNNNNNNNNNNNNNNNNNNNNNNNNNNNNNNNNNNNNNNNNNNNNNNNNNNNNNNNNNNNNNNNNNNNNNNNNNNNNNNNNNNNNNNNNNNNNNNNNNNNNNNNNNNNNNNNNNNNNNNNNNNNNNNNNNNNNNNNNNNNNNNNNNNNNNNNNNNNNNNNNNNNNNNNNNNNNNNNNNNNNNNNNNNNNNNNNNNNNNNNNNNNNNNNNNNNNNNNNNNNNNNNNNNNNNNNNNNNNNNNNNNNNNNNNNNNNNNNNNNNNNNNNNNNNNNNNNNNNNNNNNNNNNNNNNNNNNNNNNNNNNNNNNNNNNNNNNNNNNNNNNNNNNNNNNNNNNNNNNNNNNNNNNNNNNNNNNNNNNNNNNNNNNNNNNNNNNNNNNNNNNNNNNNNNNNNNNNNNNNNNNNNNNNNNNNNNNNNNNNNNNNNNNNNNNNNNNNNNNNNNNNNNNNNNNNNNNNNNNNNNNNNNNNNNNNNNNNNNNNNNNNNNNNNNNNNNNNNNNNNNNNNNNNNNNNNNNNNNNNNNNNNNNNNNNNNNNNNNNNNNNNNNNNNNNNNNNNNNNNNNNNNNNNNNNNNNCAUUAGUGGUGAGUCCUCAUUCUUCGAGGACAAUAAUCAUGGGUUUCCUUUUAGUACUUUAGUCCUUUAGUUUCAGUUUUGCUAGACUUAGCUGGGGCCUGUCCCAGCAUUUCUAGUCAGUUAGAGGCUAUUUUCAGACAUAGUUAGAUUCAACUUAGUAUUGAGUUAAUAUCUUCUUUGUAUUAAACUCAUCAAUUUUCAUUUAUCUCAGUUAUAGUAUAUGGGUAUUCCCCAUCUUUUCAUUUUUAUUUAUGAUUUAGCUUCCGCAUCAGUUUAUUAUCUUUAGUAUGCUCAUGAUCAUGCCAGCAGGGUUAGCUUGGGAUCACUUGUGGUCCUAGGUCCCGUGUCCGCGUCUCGGGGGUAGCUCGGGGCGUGACAAGUAAUAUAUUAAAACAGAAGAGACUCCUUGAACAAGUGUGAAUAUCUCUUUGUGUAGCUGAAAAAUACGUGAACUGUUUACCUUGUGAAACCUUUCUUUCAAAUCCUCCCAAAUUAGAUGUGCAUCUGAGCAAAAAAGCACUCCACUAUGUAGAUCCUUGCUAACAUUGCACAGAAUCCAUGGCACUACAAUUGCGUUACAACGAUCCCAUAAACGAGCCAAAACACUGGUGAAUUGAUCUCGAUCUACUGUACCAUCAAUGAAUCCCACCUUGUUUUUUCCAAGCAUAGCCAACUGCAUAGCUUCGCUCCACAAAGUGUAAUUAUCAGUUCCUAUAAACAUUAUACCCACAUUGAGUGAUCCAGGUGCAUCAGAUGGAUACAAAUAGAGAUGAUGAAGAUGAUCAAUUGUGGUAGCAGCCAUGGCAGUACCUAGUUGAUUUCCAGUACUAGAAUCUCCCAUCGAAAUCACAAAGAAGGGAAGAAAUCGAGAAAUUGAGUGAACGACGAAGAAAUUGAAGCAAAGAAACUUGAAUCUGAACUUCAAACUACAAAUUUAUUACUGCAUUGACUCUCAAUUGAAUCUCGAAAGCUCUGAUACCAUGUUAAGUUUGAUAAUUCUGGAUCAAUGCAAGAUCCAUGGAUGAGAGCAACAUUGAGAGGAAUGAAAAGAAUUAUGUGUCUUGAUUAAUCACAAAUGCAAUACAAGGAUAUCUAUACAAUGCUAUUGUAACCGACUUGAAUAGCUACUACCUAACUGACUGCUACAUUGUAUAACUAACUUUUCUAACAAACUAUUCUACUCACACUGCUAACAGUGCAAUGUGUAAUGUAACAGCUUGUAACUAACUUCAAUAAUGUACACUGAUGCAUGUAUUCAAUUUCUUUACACUUCUCUCCUCUCUUCAACGUCCAUUGCAUUUACCGCGAUUUUUGUGUAUUUCAUGGUGAAACAUAAGUUCACAGAUUAUUCCGUAAACGCGGUGGUAUUGAUGAUGUUAGGGUCAAUUAUAUUAGGGUUACACAUGAAUGGAGAUCGUCCGAUAGGUGAAUCGAAUCAACAAUACACGUUAGGGUUUGUGAUGAUAAUUAUUGGUGCGGCUCUUCAUGGAUUUAUAAAUGCAGGAGUUGAGUAUAGUCAUGUUAAAGCUGGAGUUGUUGUCACCUUUGAUCUUGUCAUGCAAAUACAGUUUCUUAUAUCCAUGUUCUCAUCUUUGUUUUGUAUCGUCGCCAUGAUUAUCAACAGAGAUUUUCAGGUAAUACGUCUCACUCAAAAAUUUAAGCUAUUAGAAAAAAUGUAACUUUUUGUUACUUAGUUGUAUUUUUAACAUUUAGGCAUGUUAUUUUAGCAUUUUACUUUUAUAAACUAGCAAAUUAGAAGUAUAUAUAAACUUUAUAUUAUAAGUGUAAUUUAGUGUAUUAUAACAUGUUAUUAUGAGCUAUUAUCCGUAGUUAUUUUUAAGUGAUAUAAUAGUGUAUAUAAAAAUUCUUUUAUACUGUCAGUUAUAAAAGUCAAAUUAUUUAUCUUAUAUGAGAAAUUAAUUAGUCUGGCAAAGAAAAUAUCAUAUAAAAAUUAAUAAUCAAAAGAAUUAUGCAAUAUAGUUUUGCAAGUACUACUAUCUGUUUGUUCCGAUUUGUGUGACAGUUUGAAUCUAGCACAAAAUUUACGACGAAAUAAAUAAAGAUUUUUUUAAAUUUAUAAUAUUAAAGAUAUCAUAAUAUUCGUAUGGUUAAAUUGUUUUGAAAACUUUUGAUGUUAAAUAUGCCAUAAUAUUUGUAACUAUUAAAGUUUCAAAAUCUUAGUAAAGGAUAAGAUGAAAAGUUAAAAAUAAAUAUUUUUAAAUUUUAAAUAUAAAAAUCUGCUAUUCUUCUAUAAAGAAAAAAAUAGUAUUAUCAAUGAAAUUGUUUCAAACUUUUUGGAGCAUCCCACAGCAAAAAAAGAAGUGCAAUAACUAAAUAGUGGAAGUGUGGGAUUAGUAUACAAAAGGAAAUAAAAAAAAGUAGAGUUACCAAUGACAUGAGCUUUCUUUCUCUUAAUUUAUAAGAGUGAUCACAUAAUAAAAAACUUUUUUUUUUGAGUGGUAAGAAAAAAGGUUUCCUUUUCAAAAGAUGAUCAAGAAGUAUCAAUUUUCAAUAGUAUAGUAAAGCAGAAAGAGUGGCAUCUAUAGUGGAAAUAUGUAGAGCAACAUAAAGGGGAAAAAGAAUUAAAAAUAACUUUUAUUUAAUUAUUUUCAAAGAUAAUCAAGGGGAUAUCUUCAAUCAUAGCAUUUUACUCUUUUUAGUGGGUUUAAAAAAAUAUUAUUCUUUUUCUAUAUUGGGUAACUCUCUAAUAUUUCAAUAUUUUACCUAACUUUUUUAAGAUCAUAAGAUUCAAACAUCUCUAAUUUAAGAUUUCAAAAUUAAAAAAUAUCUUUUAGUAUUUUUACACUCUAAGACACUUAAAUUAAUAUUGAGAGUUUAAAAUAUAUACGUCGUUGAUGUAUUGAAUAUUUACAUUAUCAAGUCCUUUUCAUCUGUUAUAGCUGGUAACUUGUCUUAUUUAUAAAAUUGCAUAUCCCACAUAUUAAGAAUAUUAUUCACCUAUAAAUAUCAUUUGAAUGACCUGACGGCUGAUGGUGUAAGAAAAUAUUUCAUAAAAAUAUGCAGGCCAUCACUAGAGAAGCUGAAGAAUUUGGAUUAGGGCAAAGAAAGUACUAUAUGAUAUUAGCACUAUCAGCAAUAUCUCUACAGUCUAUGAUGAUUGGAUAUCUUGGAAUGAUUUACUGCUCCUCAGCACUAUUGUUUGGGAUAGUAAAUGCACUUCUUGUUCCAAUACAACAAAUAUUUGCUGUCAUUUUCUUGCCUGAGAGCUUCAAUUCUGAUAAGUGGAUGGCUUUAGCUAUGUGUCUUUGGGGUUUUGCUUCUUAUUUCUAUGGAGAAUAUAAAGAUAGCAUGACCAACAAGGUUACAAAAAACAAACAUGCUACCCUGCCAGACCAAGUUUGAGUAACAUUAAUGUUAUAAUUUUAGUCAGUAAUGUACGCAGAAUUUUAUAUAAGUAAUUUAUUAGUAUUAUCUUUGUCAGUAUGGGAGUUUGGGUUGUGGGGUACUUCUUUUACAACGUUUAUUUUAUUUUUAUCGUAAAUUGAUGUUUAUUUUGCAUUAUUUUUUAAGCAAUGUCAGCAUGUUGAGUAUGUAUGUAUAGUGAUAGAGCCAGAAUUUUUAAAAAAAAAUUCAAAUCAUAUGCCAAGGAAAUUUAAAUCUUGUCUUUUGAUUUCUUAAUAAGCAAGGGUCCCUAAGAUAGAAUGUUCAAGUUCAUUCAACAAAAAGAAUAGGAAAAAGGGAAGAUAUAUGGACCAAUUAAAUAUUGUAUAAAUAGUGUAUACGGAUAUAUAUACAUCUCAAAUACAUAGUUAUACAUUAUAUAUACAUAAUUAUAUACUAUUUAUACAAUAUUAAUACAUUAGUCAUACGACCAUUUUAGUAAAAUAAAUUGCCACCUGUACAAUUACGUAAGAGUUUCCACUAUUAACUUAGCACACACCUUAAGAAAUACUCCCUCCGUUUCAUUUUAUAUGUCACCUUUUUACUUUGCACUUGCUUUAAGAAAUGAUGUAACUUUACCCUUCUACACUUAUUUAAUUUUUUGGAACUCAAAUUUUCAAUCAAUGAAUAUGAAUUAAUUUAUUUUGAUUAAUUAAUUUUAACCAAUGAACAUGAAUCAUUUACUUAGCUUUUCUAAGUUGGUCAAAUGUAUAUUUUCAAGGUUAAUAACUCACAAGGGUAAAAAAGGAACAGUAUGGUAAUUUAUGCAUUGAUUUUAUGAAAUGACAAGUAUUAUAGACCAACUAUUUAUAGAAAGGGAUGACAUUUAAAAUGAGACGGAGGGAGUAAUAAAUAAUAGGGAUAAUAUUACUCUAUUAUCCUUCGAAUAUAUCAAAUUCAAUGUUUUGAGAAAUGUAUUAGAUAUUGAAUAGUAUUUAAUAGCUGGGAUAAAAUAGACACUAAAGAAUAAAUUAUCUCUUGAUUUCCCAAACUAAACGAUUUUAUGAAAUGACAAGUAUUAUGGACUAACUAUUUAUAGAAAGGGAUGACAUAUAAAAUGGGACGGAGGGAGUAAUAAAUAAUAGGGGUAAUAUUACUCUAUUAUCCUACGAAUAUAUCAAAUUCAAUGUUUUGAGAAAUGUAUUAGAUAUUGAAUAGUAUUUAAUAGCUAGGAUAAAAUAGACACUAAAGAAUAAAUUAUCUCUUAAUUUCCCAAACUGAACAAGUAUUGUUUGACAACAAUUUUUAGUAUAGCAGAUAAGAAAAAAUGGACGGAGAGAGUAACUGAUAAUUGAAGUUGAGUGCUCGUUUGUGGGAUCCUUUUUCCACGAAAGGUAAUGACAUGAAUAUAUGCCUAAUUCACAUAAAAAAAAUAUUAGAAUUUUCAAUACUAAUAUAAAGGAACAAAUGAAACCUACUUUUUCUGUCUCAUAACCUUAGCUAGGUUUCAUACUUUAAAUCUAUGAUUACUAUAAAACUAGGGUGACAAGUAAAUGAGUUAGGCCAAACUUGAACAAGUUAAAGCGAAAUGAAUGAUAACUCAACCCGUCUAAAAUGUAGGUUUUUUCUAGCUAUACAUGAGGUGGCAACAAAUAUUCAAUAAUAAUGGUCGUAUAUAUAUGCAAUGUAUAUGUAAUGUAUUGAUAAUGUAUAUAUAGUGUAUAGCCGAAUUUAUGUGAUAUAUAACUAUAGGGUCAAUGUUGGUAUGCCCCUGAUGGAUUGACUAGAUUUAAACUUUCACAUUAUUGGUAAAAAUUCUAUUCUCCAUCUUGUAAUCCCUUUUCCUAUUUUUUCUACCUGCAGUAAAUAAAUAAAAAAGAGACUACAUGGGCUGUUUCUUGAAAAUGAUAUUAGAAAACUAGAAGUACUUAUGUGGAAUAAACAUUUAUGAAUGAGGCAUGCCACUAUCAAAUUAAAGGAGUAGUUAAGCUUAAAAUCGCAAUAAAGGAAACAUCACCUUUUUCAUAUGGUUGAAAAUGAUCCCACAUAGUACUAGUGUAAAAGAAAUUUAAAAAUAAAUAAAUUCAAAUAUAAGUUUAAAACUAAAGAAAACAAGAUAAUACAAAAUAUCAUAAUAAUAGCUAGAAGAAUUAUUGGGUGCAUUUUUUUAAUUUUGACAACAAAAGUAGAUUCAACUUUAAACACAUUUAUCUUUCAUUAAAUCAAGAAUAAUUAAUUAGCAAUGCUUUUGUAUAUCAAUUAAUAUUGAAUUCAUAAGUACUAUAGUUUGAAUAUCUUUUAUGAAAGAUGCUAUAUUAUAAGUCACAAAAUAUAUUAUAUGAUGUUAUAUAGUGCUUUAUUACUAGGAUUUGGAUACUCUACUUUUCUUCCUUUAUACAACGUUAGUGGCUUGUGCAACAACUAGUCUAUCUAUUCGACAAUAAUCAUUAUCUUUAAUUUUUGGACGUUCAAAUCUUAUGGACAUCCAAGUGGAUUUAACUUUUAUAUAUACUAUAUUAUCAAUGAUUGUGGUGAAAUAUUGGAUAAAAUUUCACUAUUUUUAAAUUAAUGAUCUCGAGUUUGAGCCUGAAAUUUUCUUAAUGAAAACAUUUUCCAAAGAAAUUUUCCCUCAAAAGCCAAAUACACCCAUAUAAAGUCAAACAAAUACUAGCUUUCUGAUAAGUAUGGUAUUGGUUAAAACCUCUAUUAAGGGUUAUUUUGUAAUUGUAUAUGUAUCAAUUCUUGUAUAAAUAUCUCCUAUAUGAUUAAUGAAUGUAGCGUUGGGGUUCACUUUACAUGGUAUUAGGGCCAAAAAAAAAAAAACAAUGCUUAGAAAAGAAAAGAAAAAACCUAAAUAUGACGGGAACUUCAGCUGCCACCAAUGCUUCCACUAUGCUUGUUGCUUCAGCGACAAUGCUGAGCAGGCAGAGGUCCUGGGAUUCAAUCUCACUGUCACCCAUAUCAAAAAGAAUUUUCACGUACUUGACUCAUGAAAAAAAAAAUCAGUCCCACACACGUGCGGAUAUGUUGAAAAUAUGAUUAAAUAAUAAAAAUAUGCUCUCUAACAGCUUAAUUAAGCUUUUAAUAAGAUGAUCACACACUUCAAUAUUUCCCUCUUUGGGUUAUACAUGUAACAUCACACUCAAUAAUUUCAUCAGAUGAGAGUCUCUCAUUUCUUGCAACUUGCUACCUAGUGCUACUACUAUAAUUAAGUAUAUACCCCCACAAAUACCUCUCAAACACAUCACAAAAAAUUAUGGGCAUGGAAAUAGAGCAAGAGGGAAACUAUGAUAAGCGUAAGAAAAUCAAGAAUUUCAUGUCAAUUAAAACACUUCUUAUUCUCAUAAAUUGUAUCUUCAUUUCAGUUGGCCAAAUAUCAGGUGUAUUACUUGUUAGAAUUUAUUACUUACAUGGUGGAAAAAGAAAGUGGUUGCAAGCAUUUUUGCUAACAGCAGGAUUCCCAAUCUUGAUUCUACCAAUUUCAAUUUCUUAUGUGAAAAAAAGAAAAAAAAUUACCAAUAAUAAUAAUAUUAGGCUUUUUGUCACACCUAAAUUAGCAAUAUUUAGUGCUAUUUUAGGUAUUCUUCUUGGUAUUUGUAGCUACCUCUACACUUUUGGCAUGUCAUAUCUUCCUGUUUCGAUUUCCUCUCUCCUCUCUUCAACGUCUCUAGCAUUCACCGCGAUUUUCGCGUAUUUCAUGGUGAAACAUAAGUUCACAGAUUAUUCCGUGAACGCGGUGGUGUUGAUGAUGCUAGGUUCGAUAAUAUUAGGGCUACAUAUGAAUGGAGAUCGUCCGAUAGGUGAAUCGAAUCGACGAUACACAUUAGGGUUUGUGAUGACACUUGUUGGUGCGGCUCUUCAUGGAUUUGUAAAUGCAGGAGUGGAGUAUAGUCAUGUUAAAGCUGGAGUUGUUGUCACGUUUGAUCUUGUUAUGCAAAUGCAGUUUCUUAUAUCAAUGUUCUCAGCUUUGUUUUGUAUCGUCGCAAUGAUUAUCAACAAAGAUUUCCAGGUAACCGUCUCAGUCAAAAGUUUAAAACGGUUAG
rnacentral:lncRNA from 1 species